rnacentral:rRNA from 1 species
GACGAACGCUGGCGGCGUGCUUAACACAUGCAAGUCGAACGAUGAAGCCGGAGCUUGCUCUGGUGAAUUAGUGGCGAACGGGUAAGUAACACGUGAGUAACCUGCCCUUGACUCUGGGAUAACUGCUAGAAAUGGUAGCUAAUACCGGAUACGACCCUCGGCGGCAUCGCCAGGGGGUGGAAAGAAUUUCGGUCAAGGAUGGACUCGCGGCCUAUCAGCUAGUUGGUGAGGUAACGGCUCACCAAGGCGACGACGGGUAGCCGGCCUGAGAGGGUGACCGGCCACACUGGGACUGAGACACGGCCCAGACUCCUACGGGAGGCAGCAGUGGGGAAUAUUGCACAAUGGGCGCAAGCCUGAUGCAGCAACGCCGCGUGAGGGAUGACGGCCUUCGGGUUGUAAACCUCUUUUAGUAGGGAAGAAGCGAAAGUGACGGUACCUGCAGAAAAAGCACCGGCUAACUACGUGCCAGCAGCCGCAGUAA